CCCCCCACAGCCACCUCGUCCCAAAUCUGCAACACUUUUCCUUCGAAUCACUGCCGAAACUCCUCGAAUCUCAAAUCGAAAUUUCGAUACCAAAAUCCUAACUACUCCAACCCGCCCCAAUAACAACUUGUAGUCCUUGCCCCUACCUGAACCUCAAACCAGCCUUAGCCCCCUCGAAUCAACCCCAAUUUGGUCGAAUUUUAAAUUUCAAAUUCCGAAAAAAUUUCUUCGCUUGGUCAGUGUUUGGAACCUAUGAACCCAGACAUCCAUUAGCUGGUUGUUUUUGUUAAGAACAGCUAGUUAAUGGCUGUAUAAGUUACCGCCUCGUUCAAGAAUUUUCUUCAACUGACCCGGUGCAAAAUAGCAUUAGGUAACUUCUGUUAAUUUUAUUUUUAGUUUCUUUUCCAUUAUUAGUUGCUUUCUUUCCAUGUUUAAAGGUUCUUGAUUAACAGCAUGUUUUAGGGAUAAUUUUAGAUUUUUUCUUUUCCUUUAUUCACGACUGCUUGUUUGAUUGUCCAUUCCAGAAAAUUAAUUGAAGCAUGUUUACAUUUCAGCACUCAAUUGCAUGAUUUAGUUUUAGGCUUCUAUUUGUUUAAAUCAAAAAUUUAUCAUGAAAUUAGUGCAUUUUAGGCUUUUGUUUUAGGGUUCAGAUGCUUAGAAUUCACGGUGUAAUUUUGCUUGUUUGAUUUGUCUGUUGAUUAGCAUGUUUGUUUGUGUUGACCCUAGAUUAUAAAUCAAUAGAUACUUAGAGGGGUCAAAUGAACAAAAAAACUUAAUGGGUCAUAACAGGGGGUGGUAAUCCUGAAAUAGGAUAAGGUCUAUGCUGAAAAUGUUCUAGAAUAGAGGCAGCUAGUCUCAUUUGGUCAGUACAAAGUAUUGAAACCAAUGAGGGGCAGCCAACUGUCCAUUUCUGUUAAGAAUAUUCCUUUUGUGGCUGAAGGAAUAAUUCGUUUAUUCGUAUACCAUAUGGCAUUCUAUAUGCCUAUAUAUAGUACCUCUCACUCACUCUGAAGAAGACAAUCCUUUUAGCAAUCAUCAGCACUUUUUAGCAUCAUUUUACUGCACCAAUGCUCCCUUUUCUUUUCUGAAAAAGAUUAGAUUCCAAAAAAACUUGACAAAAACUUCAAAAAUUAUUUUCUGAUUCUUUACAUGCUAGAGGAUAAUGGUUUGAAGUUGGGAGUAUCCUUCUUAGGUGUUUUGUUUGGGAUUCCUAGGUUCAAGUUUUUUGGUUUUUGGGUCUGAAAUUUUAAUUUAGAUGUGGACUGUUGUAGUUGUGUUUUUUGUUGCUACUUAAUUCCUGUUGUUGUUCCUUGUUCUUUACAAGUGUUUUCAACCAAUACUAUCCUAUUUUAGCACUCGCUAGUUGUUAUUGUUGUUUGUUCAAGGUAUUUGAACUCAACUUUUCUUCAUGUAAUGAGCUUUUGUUAAAAUGGUAUAGGGAUCAAAAGUUGCAAGUUACCUGUGAUGAAUGAUUGUUCUUUUCAUGUUAGUAUUCUGACUGCAAUGAUGUGUAUCCCAGUUAUUUGAUACAAUGUGAGCUCAAAGCUUGAAUCAAUGUGGUGUAAACAAGUGAGGUAAUAUAUGUUUGUUUAUCAGUCAUCAUUCUAAAAAAUGACCAUAUUUAAAAAUUCUAUAUCUAAAUACUCUAUUUGAAUAAUGAUGAUUCUGGUUCUUAGAGUCAUGUUUUCCCCUUCAUUUUCUUCUAUUUAAAUGCAUAACUUGUUUACUUGAUGUCACCUGAUGUUGGUUUGCAAAUUAUGAGCUGUAAUAGGUGAAUUUGGCCAAAUCAACAUGUUAAAUGGCUGACAAUUGAAAGUUUGUUGUUGGUAGAUAUUGUGUUAGACUCAUUUCUGCUCUUGUUCUCUUUCUGAUUGACGCUUUUUUUUUAUUUUGACGUCAUUGGUCUCUAUUUGCAAUCUACUAGCCAAUUUCUACAGAUUUGAGUCACUGGUUGACCAAAUCAAUAGGUUCCAAGGUCAUAAGUCUAAAAUUUCUAUUGUUUGAACUUGCUGAAAUUUAG
rnacentral:lncRNA from 1 species